rnacentral:lncRNA from 1 species
CUCAUAUACAAAGCAGAUUUCCACAUCAUCAGUCUCCAAAAAUACCUUUUUGUACAUAAGUAACAUAACUAUAACCUUUUGUUUGUACAACUCUUCCAAACAUAAUCAUGUGUACCCUUAAACCUAUAUAUAAAAGGGGGGAGAAGUCAAAGUCUUCCGCCAAAACCUCCUUGGAUAUAACGAUCUAACUAAAUAACAAAGAUACUCAAUAUUUAUUCGUGUUGAUUUCCCACUCA